UGGUGUAUAAAGCAAUUAACUGCUCCGUUGGAUAUUUCAGAAAGGUUGUGUUGCAGCGAUCCCGAGUUACGUGACCUGGACCAGCCCGGGAGGUCACCACCUCUGAGACGUGAACCCAUCCCUGUGAUCUGGACCAGCUCAUGGUCACUAUCUGCCGAGGAGUGAGAAGUCACUUUUCUAACCAUCUUUGCUGAGGUGCUCAACACAGACCCGCUUCAGUGGCUGGGAGGGCAGUAGGCCGCCUGCAUGACCUCAACUGUUUGGGCAACACAGUGACCUUAUAUGUGAUACACGUCUAGUAUGUGUAGGAACCACAGUCACACUGACCCCGUCCAACAUAAUUGCCUUGCAUGAUACAAGAACACUGAAGUAGGCCUACUGGCUCAUGAGAGGCAGGGACACUGGAGCAGGCCUACCAGCCUCGAGGGAGACAAAUACUGCAAUAGGCGUACUGACCCAUCAGAGGCAAAUCUACUUGAUUUGUCUAUCCUAUUCCUUCCCCCAGGUGACAAAAUGCAGGUAUGACCCAAGGCUCUGGAACCUGUACUCACCAGACGAUAAAGGCCGAGAGGCGGGACCCAAUAGCCGUGACUCAUCCUCCCGCAAAUACAACUAGAGAUCCAUAUUGGAAUAAGAUUCACACGACCUGCAAAACCGCUUCCCUCGGCAAUUUACGCAGGAAAUCGCUACACUGCUAUCUGAUGGAGUAGUUAUUACGGCGUCAUGUGACAGCGAGUGUGUUUGACUAGGGAAGGAAAGCCCUACGUCUGCCUCACGACACAUGAUGUGCCUCACACGCCACGCUCGCCUUUACAAGCCUCAACACACCAUUUCUUCAGUUCCUUUAUAAUAUAUAUUUAUAUACAUAUGCAUGUGUACUCACCUAAUUGUGCUUGUGCUUGUGAGUGUGUGUGUGUAAAGCGGUCGACAUGCAUGCAUAUAUAUGUUUGAAUAUAUUAAAAUGUUGAGGUUAGCACUUAUCAAACGAACACACUCAUAGGAAACUAUAAAAUGACCUGAAUAAACUGCAAGUAUGUCCAACAAAUGACUCUUAGAGUUUACCUCAAACAAGUGCAAAGUGAUAAAAAUAGGAACAAAUCCACAAGGGCCGUGACGAGGGUUCGAACCUACGUCCGAGGGCAUCCCAGACGCUGUGAUAAAAAUAGGCACUGGGAACAGACAGACACAAAGUACGGAACUAGAUAUGCAAUCCUCCCAGAACCAGGACAAAGGACCCAAGAGUUAAUAUUAUACAGAUCCUGUCUCUCGAUCCAAAAUAAGAUGGGCAUCAGCAGCAGCAGCGUAUGCUAGGUUGGCCUACAUAAGAAAUAACUUUAAGAAAUGUGGAAUAAAAGUUCUUUCAAGACCUUGCCUAACACAUACAUCAGACCAAUCCUGGAAUUUGCGGCACCAGCAUGAAGUCCUUACCGUGUUAAACACAAAACGAAGUUUAAGAUAGCCCAGAGGCAUGCCACCAGAAUAGUCCCAGAAUUGAGACGUACGA